rnacentral:rRNA from 1 species
AGCGAACGCUGGCGGCAGGCCUAACACAUGCAAGUCGAACGGAUCCUUCGGGAUUAGUGGCGGACGGGUGAGUAACACGUGGGAACGUGCCCUUUGGUUCGGAACAACUCAGGGAAACUUGAGCUAAUACCGGAUGUGCCCUUCGGGGGAAAGAUUUAUCGCCAUUGGAGCGGCCCGCGUCUGUUUAGCUAGUUGGUGAGGUAACGGCCCACCAAGGCGACGAUCAGUAGCUGGUCUGAGAGGAUGAUCAGCCACACUGGGACUGAGACACGGCCCAGACUCCUACGGGAGGCAGCAGUGGGGAAUCUUGCGCAAUGGGCGAAAGCCUGACGCAGCCAUGCCGCGUGAAUGAUGAAGGUCUUAGGAUUGUAAAAUUCUUUCAGCGGGGACGAUAAUGACGGUACCCGCAGAAGAAGCUCCGGCUAACUUCGUG